rnacentral:rRNA from 1 species
AACGAACGCUGGCGGCGUGCCUAACACAUGCAAGUCGAACGAGAAGUACGUAGCAAUACGUAUUGUAAAGUGGCGCACGGGUGAGUAACACGUGGGUAAUCUGCCCUUGAGUUUGGGAUAACCCCGCGAAAGCGGGGCUAAUACCGAAUAAGACCACGGGGACCAAAGUCCCUGAGGUAAAAGACGGCCUCUAUUUAUAAGCUGUCACUUGGGGAUGAGCCCGCGGCCCAUUAGCUAGUUGGCAGGGUAACGGCCUACCAAGGCGAUGAUGGGUAGCUGGUCUGAGAGGACGACCAGCCACACUGGGACUGAGACACGGCCCAGACUCCUACGGGAGGCAGCAGUGGGGAAUUUUGGACAAUGGGCGCAACCCUGAUCCAGCCAUGCCGCGUGAGUGAAGAAGGCCUUCGGGUUGUAAAGCUCUUUCGGACGGAAAGAAAUCUCCAUUUCUAAUACAAGUGGUGGAUGACGGUACCGUCAUAAGAAGCACCGGCUAACUACGUGCCAGCAGCCGCCGUAAAAC